ACUUCCAUUACAUUUGCUUUCAGAUAAAGAUGAAUGUCAUGCAUCAUCCUAUAUGAAAGUUUUGGAAGUUAGAAGACAGACAUAAGAGAAAAGACUAAAGCCUGGCAACUUCAGCAGUAAUUUCAGCCAGUUUGCAUUUACUGGAAGAAGUCCAUUGUCUGUUCAUGUACAUGUCUAACUCAUAAUAUUUGUUUAUAUGGUGGAUUACAUUGACAGUUUUCCAUAUGUUGAACCAUCCCUGCAUCUCUGGGAUGAAGCCUGCUUGAUCAUAAUGGACUAUCUUUUUGAUGUGUUCUUGGAUUCAGUUUGUUUAUAUUCUUUAAAGUUGAUUUGGUAAAUGUAUUUGAAAGAUGACUCUCCAAGGCCCUUGGAGUAAUGGAACCAAGACUGAUUUGAGUCUUGAAUCUGUUGAGGAAGACACACAUUAAUUUACAUCAAUAUCAGGAUGAUCUGUAUUGGAAGAAGAGCAAGUUGUACAAGGGCAACAUAGUAUCUCAGGACUUCAGCUCCUCUAGGAAAGUUACUGUUCAAGUCACAUACAUCAUAAUGCGGAAUUCUUCAUCAGUACCACAAAAAGAUCAAGG